UUGCUUCUAUGACGUUAGCGGCGGACGGGUGAGUAACACGUGGGCAACCUGCCUGUAAGACUGGGAUAACUUCGGGAAACCGAAGCUAAUACCGGAUAGGAUCUUCUCCUUCAUGGGAGAUGAUUGAAAGAUGGUUUCGGCUAUCACUUACAGAUGGGCCCGCGGUGCAUUAGCUAGUUGGUGAGGUAACGGCUCACCAAGGCAACGAUGCAUAGCCGACCUGAGAGGGUGAUCGGCCACACUGGGACUGAGACACGGCCCAGACUCCUACGGGAGGCAGCAGUAGGGAAUCUUCCGCAAUGGACGAAAGUCUGACGGAGCAACGCCGCGUGAGUGAUGAAGGCUUUCGGGUCGUAAAACUCUGUUGUUAGGGAAGAACAAGUACAAGAGUAACUGCUUGUACCUUGACGGUACCUAACCAGAAAGCCACGGCUAACUACGUGCCAGCAGCCGCGGUAAUACGUAGGUGGCAAGCGUUAUCCGGAAUUAUUGGGCGUAAAGCGCGCGCAGGCGGUUUCUUAAGUCUGAUGUGAAAGCCCACGGCUCAACCGUGGAGGGUCAUUGGAAACUGGGGAACUUGAGUGCAGAAGAGAAAAGCGGAAUUCCACGU
rnacentral:rRNA from 2 species